ACCAAAGGGAAAUAUAUGCCGCCAAUUGGAAUGAAUGUUGUGAAUUUUCCAUUUAUUCUAUUGAUGAUUUUUCGUUU
rnacentral:ribozyme from 15 species